AACACAUGCUUCUCCCAGUGCCCAGGUCAGCUCGUCGCCGACGCUUCCCUAAAACUGGAGUACUGGACCUCGUCGCCGGUGCUUCUCUUGCCGCCCGCGGCGUCGGCCUCCCCAUCUCCUCUGCCACUAUCGCCAUCGCCGGGGCGCUUCAGAUUCCCCGAAAAAUGUGUGUUCUUGCCCUAUCUGCCCUUGGAGUAGGUCCAGAUCGAGAGUAACUACAGUUCAGGCCAUCCCACACAAAUGCUUUCGGUGCACAAGGAUCACCCAUCCAGUUUUUCUUCAGCACAUACGACUCGCGAAUUGUCAUUAUGGACUCGGCUGUUUACACAGGAAAAGACAAGGUAUUUGUGAAAUCUUGCUUUACGCUAUCCAAACAAAUAGUUCAAAACUGGACUUAAUGUGUUAGAUACCAUCUGGAUUGUUCGUCGCAAACUCAGUCAUCUGCUGCACCGAGUAUAUCUCGAGCGCAUUCAGGAUGGGCGGGAGCGUGGCGUCUGGCGUGGCGACAAGCGAGACAGUGUGCUGGCCCGCCCCCUGCACCACCACUCUUUUCACGACCUCUGCAGAAAGGUACUUCGGGGUGUAGUUCCGGCUGCCGUCCCACGAGGCGCCAUCGAUGAGGAUGUCGAACCGCCUUAGCGCGCUGCUCGGCAACCUCUGCAGCUCCGCGAAGUAGAGCAGCAGGAGGUAAGCUGUGCUGCUGCUGCUGUUCAGCGAGGGGUCUGGGCUCCAUGAGAAGUUGAGCCGGGCCCCAUUCACUGGAGUGGCAGCACCCUGCAGUACCACUGACGGCGGCUCGGUGAAGCUGCUGGAGUUGGAGACGUCGAUGGAGGCUGUCGUCGUUAUGUUGGUCCAUGCAUCGACAUCGAUGUAGCUCUGCCAGACACGGUCAUAGGGAUCAUUUGGGUACCUGUUUCCGGUAAUCCAGAGUGAGAAAAAAAUCACCAGAAAUCGCAACUGAUGUGCCUAAAACCUAUAGAUGCUGCACAAUUUGAUAGAAUAUUGAUUGGCAAAAAUGAUUCUGGAUUGACCACAAAUAUUGCAUUUGGUUUUGCAUCAGAAAAAGGUGCCAUGAAUGAUGAAUACCAGGAAUUGAAAUAAGGAACUGAAACACCAGGAAUUGAAAUAAGGCUACUAGUUAGCAGUGAAUACCAGGAAUUGAAAUACAACAACUUAUUGUGAUAAUCUUCUUUAGGAACAAACUGUGGUGGUCAACGGCUAGCCGUCAGAUUGAUCAUAUUUCACGGGGAGCUUUGCCUAUUGGGACUUGGGAGUAGUGAUAGUGGUAAUGUCUAAAUCCCGUGUUUUAAAAGAAUGAUCAUAUUUAAACCAUGUUUGAGAUUGCUGAUCGGGUGGAAUGCUUCCGAGGUACAUGUAGGGACUGUGAUAGGCUCCUAGGGUUCCAACCCUUCCCUUCCCACCACUGCCACCCCACUGUUUGGUCCACAGCUCCCCUUCGGUGGCCAUCUCAGCACCGACGCCACCUCCCCUCUCCCCUCUGUUUUGCUUCAGUUGGCUUCUCUAGCGACAUGAUUCAUUUGUCACAGGGGAAGUAUACUGAAGAUGUGCUCGAAUGGGCAGGCAUGACCUCAUGAGUAAGUGCAACCUGUCCACCAUUGAUAAGCUUUCGAUGACAGAUGGGAUGGUGAUCCUCUUGGAUCCCAAAGAUGCUUCUCAUUACCAGAGUAUAGUAGGCGCUUUACAGUAAUUGGCAAUGACACGUCCUAAUAUUUUAUUUUAUGUGAACAAUGUUUGCUAAUUGCUAUAUUCCCCAACCACAGUUCACAGGACAGCUGUCAGAAGGAUCUUGCGGUACCUCAAAUACCAUUGAAUUUGGUGUUAAAAUUAGGAGAUCUUCUUCUACACCUUGGUAAGUUGUGUUUUUCUGAUGUAGAUUGGCCAUGUAGUUCGGAUGAUAGAAGAUCCGCCGGUGGAUUUGCUGUGUUUCUUGGACCUAGCCUUAUUUCAUGGAGUGCAAGAAAACAAGCGACAAUGUCUAGAUCAAGUACAUAAGUUGAGUAUAAAGCAUUGACGGAUGCUACUGCAGAAAUUAUUUGGGUGCAGUCUCUUCUUGGAUAACUUGGUGUAACUCAGACAAGAACAUGUCUUUUUUGUGAUAAUAUAGGUGCUACAUAUUUGUCAUCCAAUCAGGUCUUGCAUAUCAGAACUAAACAUAUUGAAGUUGAUAAGUUGAUUUUCACUCUAUUUGA